AGCGAACGCUGGCGGCAGGCUUAACACAUGCAAGUCGAGCGCCCCGCCAGGGGUUCGGCAGGCUGGUGGGUAACCCGUGGGGACAUACCUUUUUGUUCGGAACACCUGUGGGAUACUUCAGAUAAUACCGGAUAAGCCCUUACAGGGAAAGAUUUCUCGCCCUACGUUUGGCCCGCGUCUGAUUAGCUACUUGGUGAGGUAACGUCUCACCAAGGCGACGUUCAGUAGCUGGUCUGAGUAGAGGAUCAACUUCAAUGGGACUGAGACACGGCCCAGACUCCGACGGAAGGGAGCAGUGGAGAAUAUUGGACAAGGGGGGCAACCCUGAUCAAGCCAUGCCGGGGGAGUGAGGAAGGCCUUAGGGUUGUAAAGCUGUUUUGCACGGGAAGAUAAUGACGGUACCGGGAGAAUAAGCCCCGGCUAACUUCGUG
rnacentral:rRNA from 1 species